rnacentral:rRNA from 1 species
AGGAUCAUUACCUAGAGUUGUAGGCUUUGCCUACCAUCUCUUACCCAUGUCUUUUGAGUACCUUCGUUUCCUCGGCGGGUCCGCCCGCCGAUUGGACAAACUUAAACCCUUUGUAAUUGAAAUCAGCGUCUGAAAAAACAUAAUAGUUACAACUUUCAACAACGGAUCUCUUGGUUCUGGCAUCGAUGAAGAACGCAGCGAAAUGCGAUAAGUAGUGUGAAUUGCAGAAUUCAGUGAAUCAUCGAAUCUUUGAACGCACAUUGCGCCCCUUGGUAUUCCAUGGGGCAUGCCUGUUCGAGCGUCAUUUGUACCUUCAAGCUCUGCUUGGUGUUGGGUGUUUGUCUCGCCUUUGCGUGUAGACUCGCCUUAAAACAAUUGGCAGCCGGCGUAUUGAUUUCGGAGCGCAGUACAUCUCGCGCUUUGCACUCAUAACGACGACGUCCAAAAAGUACUUUUUACACUCUUGACCUCGGAUCAGGUAGGGAUACCCGCUGAACUUAAGCAU